rnacentral:lncRNA from 1 species
GGGUAUCUAGUUUAAAAAAUGUGUGUCGUGACCCGGCCAACCAACCAAGAUGGCCGCCAUGGCUAAAAAUAGAACAUAGGGGUAAAAUGCAGUUUUUAGCUUAUAACUCAAAAACCAAAGCAUUUAGAGCAAAUCUGACAUGGGGUAAAAUUGUUUAUCAGGUCAAGAUCUUUCUGCCCUCAAAUUUUCAGAUGAAUCCGACAACCCAUUGUUGGGUUGCUGCCCCUGAAUU